CUUGAAUUAAUUCAUCUAUAUUUCUAACCAAAUGUCUAGUUUUUUUUCUUAGUAUUGGUGUUUUGCUUAAAUUCGCUAAAUGUUUAAUUUAACGCACAAAAUGUUUAAAAUUACAGCGGAAACGGCGCGUCACGUGACUGUCCCGCACGGUCUCCCGCUUCGCCACGAUUUUUAAGUUCCGCAAACACAGAGACUCAUUUGUAGAUUCAUUUACAAAUUAAUGCACAGAUUUAUUUACAGAUUGAUUUGCGGACACGGCCCUCUCCAUGUUUGAUUUUAGCUCGUAAGUUUUGGCUUCGUCUGUUGGUUCUUCUUUUUUUGGACUUCUCCGCAGACUCAGGAGCCGUAAUGAACCGGACACGUGGCUCUCAGAACAGACUCAGUACUGCCCCCGGUGGAGACGCACAGAAAUCACAGAGAAAACAGCGCAAGAAGCAGAGCGACUGCGCCCUGGUGCAAGACCUGAGUCAAAUGAGCGUCAACGGACUCGAACGAAUCAGUCGUCCAGACCUUGGCGACCGGUGCCAUCACAGCUCGGGUCUGGGGCCAGUGGGUGGUGGCGGUGGUGGC